UACCAGCACCCCGAGUGGUCGGGACGUUUAUUGGGCCUAAAGCAUCCGUAGCCGGUUCUACAAGUCUUCCGUUAAAUCCACCUGCUUAACAGAUGGGCUACGGAAGAUACUAUGGAGCUAGGAGGCGGGAGAGGCAAGCGGUACUCGAUGGGUAGGGGUAAAAUCCGUUGAUCCAUUGAAGACCACCAGUGGCGAAGGCGGCUUGCCAGAACGCGCUCGACGGUGAGGGAUGAAAGCUGGGGGAGCAAACCGG
rnacentral:rRNA from 1 species